GUUCCAGAUAAUACAGGAUUACCCUACACAAGCUUUGACCACUCCAAAGCUCAUUUCUACAGAUACGACGAGCAGGUCUCUCUGUGUUUGGAGAGGCAAAGCUCGUCAUUUCCUGGGAAGGACAAAAAUAAAUUAACUCUACAGCAGAAAUUUGUACGUUGUUCGGUCAGGGCUGAGGUACGACAUCUGAGGAAAGUGUUAUGUCAUCGACUUAACGUGGAGAAACAUCAGUAGGAAACAAAGAAUUCACCCAUUUUCUGUUGCUGAAGUCUAUCGUUGAGCUUACAGCUGAUUGGUCUGUUGUCAGUGAAGGUGAUGUGUGGCUUUAGUGCUUCCAGACACUGUGUUAGACAAACAGACAACAUAUUGAUUGUAUAAAUGCAUGUAUGAUUUGUACAUCCCAGUUAGGAGAAUUUGAUGUUCAGUUCCAUAAUAGAAAAACAAAAAAAAUCAAUGUUCAAAUAGGAUGACCAGCUAAAAAUACAUUUUUCUAAUGGUGAAAUGUAAUUAGCAAGAUUUUAAACUAAACCUCUCAUUGUUUUCAUUUCCAUCCUCCUGCCC